UGAUCCAUGUCUGAGUUACUGGAAGUCUCCAUUUUGUAUUCCAAUGGAAAAAUGUAACAAAAAUUUAUUUGGAAAGAAAUGCUGCUGCAGUUCUAUUGAAUCAUUGCCUUCACCCAGCAAUAUCUGUAACUAAAGAGCCUAAAGCUUCCUUUAAACUGCUGGAUUAAAAACCAGGAGGUUUUAUUUUACGCAGAAGCCAAUAUUAUUUUUCCUUAGUUAUGUUAAUAAAAUUAGCAUGCAUGAGCAUUUGGUAUUUUCCACUUCUCCUUAAGCCAUAUAACUUAGUCUUUGGAGAAUUCAUUUAAGAUGAAAGGAAUGUGUCUCUGUCCACCUUCCAGAGUUUCUGGGGAGUGCGUCUAGGAGAAUGCUAGGGUGGAUUUGUCAUGAAAGCUCUGGAGGAAACUUUUACUUAUCAACAAAGGCCAAGCACAGUCCUUGGAGAUUCACAUUUCAACUCUUAUUUGCACACACACAACAGGGUUUGGCGCAGAUUGAGUUUGAGUUAGUGCACAUAGGUUGUUGGGAGGAAAUCAAUCAAAAGACUUUUUAAGCAUAAAUGGUUUUUUAGGAACUGAAAGCUGAGUGCCUUAAUUUUAUGGUAAGCAUUGAAUAAAACCAUUUUAAAGCAUUCAGCAUAUUAAAACUACUCUACAAACACGAGUAAUAAUGAAGGUAUCUCCUCACCCAGGUCCAUUGGUGAUUUUUUUGAACUAAUAAUUACUAUAGAAAAAGAAGAAAAAUCAGCUGUCAUUUAAGAUGUGCUUACAACACAUGAGGUAGAGUGCUAGCUGUCAUACUGGGUUUUGAUUAAUCCAAGACUUUGGUGACUUUAGCCCCAGGGUUCACAAACAAUAGUAUGAUAACAGCAUUGUCAUUUCUCUUGUUUUAAAACCCUUCAGUGAUCUUUCCAUUGCAUUUACAAUAAAUCCUAACAACUUACCCUGACCUAAAGACCCUGCAUGACCAAGCUCUCCACUUUUCCAUUGCUAUGUCUCCAUCGCUUUUUUCCUAGUUACACUGGACUUCUUUUUGUCUCUCCAAUUUCCUAAGCUUUUUCCUACCUUCCCAGUCUCAGAGACUUUACAGUUUUGCCUGAAAUACUUUUGCAUGUCUUCCAUGGAACCCUGUUGAUGUGAGGGCCUUUCACUUUAGAGUCUGUCCCCUCACCUAACUUGCUGCUGCUGCUAAGUAGCGUCAGUUGUGUCUGACUCUGUGUGACCCCAUAGACGGCAGCCCACCAGGCUCCCCCGUCCCUGGGAUUCUCCAGGCAAGAACACUGGAGUGGGUUGCCAUUUCCUUCUCCAAUGCAUGAAAGUGAGAAGUGAAAGUGAAGUCACUCAGUUGUGUCCGACUCUUAGCGACCCCAUGGACUGUAGCCUACCAGGCUCCUCCGUCCAUGGGAUUUUCCAGGCAAGAGCACCUAACUUAUACCUCCUUAGAUAUAACCACAGUUACCAGUGUUCUUUUGUUUCCCCUCCUCAUCUUUCUUGGCCCCUGUUGUUACGUAAAAAUUUCUUCUGGACCAUAUAUGACAAAUCCACCCUAACAUUCUCCCAUUAACGCUGCAAGGUGCACAGAGAUAGUUUCUUUUCAUCUCAAAUGAAUUCUCCAAAGACUAAAUUAUUUGGCUUUAGGAGAAAUGGAAAAUACCAAAUGCUCAUGCAUACUUGUGAUAAUAAAAUAGCUAAGAAAAAUAAGAUUGGCUUCGACAUAAAAUAAAACAUUCCCAUGUUCAGGUCGGAGUAUCCCUAGGAUGUUGUGGAAGAGCAAGGAGGCUAGUGUGGCUGGAACAGAAUGAGACAAGGAAGAGCAAGGCACAAGAUGACGUCAGAAUGCAAACUACCAUUCAGAUGGUUGAUGGCCACAUAGACCAUUUUAAGAACUUGUUUUCACUCUGUGAGAUGGGAAGACAUUGGAAACUUUUGAGCAGAAAAGUGACAAGAUCUAACUGGUGAUUUCCAGGAUGACUCUGGCUGUGUUGAGCCUAGACAAAGGAGGAAGUAGGAAGACCAGUUGGAGGCUGUGGCACUCAUUCUGGUGGCUGUGUCUAGGAGAACAGCUGGGGAGAAAUGCACACAUAUGUUACCCAGAAGACAUUAUAGAAGAUGUUCAGAGGAGCGCUUUUGUAAUAGUUCAUAACUGGAAGCUGCCCAGAUGCCCAUCAGCAGUAGACGCUGUUGACUCUGAGAGGGGCUGACCAUGCUCUAGGCCAAGGAGGAGAGAGAGGGUGCCAUACGCUGUUCUAUGAAAAUAAAGCUACUUUUGCUUCUUUUAAAAAGUCUCUAUGCCAUCAAAUCCAUUGCCUGUGCCACAGUGCACACAUUCACCGCUUCUCUGAGGACUGCUGGAUGUGCCUUCUUAAUGCUUCCCCUGCUUCUGGUCUCACCAUCAGCCUCACUCAUCCAGAACAGCUGCCAAGGAAGCCCUUUAACAUUGUGGCCAUCAGAAUGACCUGGAAACUUGUUUGAGAUGUAGAUUCUCAACCCUACUGCAGACCUGCCGAGUUGGAAACUCAGGAAGAUGCAGCCCAGCUGUCUGUUUUAACAAGCCCUCCAAAUAUUCUGGAGGAGGAAAUGGCAACCCACUCCAGUAUUCUUGCCUGGGAAAUCCCAUGGACAGAGGAGCCUGGCGGGCUACAGUCUACAGGGUCACAAAGAGUCGGACACGACUGAGUAUGCAUGCUCAUGCACCAG
ensembl:lncRNA